AAACACACAGAUGUCAAACCAGAGGAGCUGCCAAGCUGGGUACCGACGCGGGAUCUUACCCCGACCGGCACUGCUGGAGCGUUUCAGAGGCUACUAUGGGUAUUACAACAAGUAUGUCACUGUGAAGAAAGGGAGCAUUGCGGGGGUUUCCACAGUGUUGGCAGCUUAGGUGCUUUUCAGCUACUGCCUUUCUUACAGGGAGAUCAAACACGAGCAGCUACUCAGGGCCCACUGA
rnacentral:lncRNA from 1 species